rnacentral:rRNA from 1 species
UACGUAGGGUCCGAGCGUUGUCCGGAUUUACUGGGUUUAAAGGGUGCGUAGGCGGUUGUGUAAGUCAGUGAUGAAAUGGGUAUGCUUAACGUACUCGCUGUUACUGAUACUGCACGACUAGAGAAUAGAUAAUGUAGCUGGAAUGAGUGGUGUAGCGGUGAAAUGCGUAGAGAUCACUCAGAACACCAAUUGCGAAGGCAGGUUACAGGACUACUUCUGACGCUGAGGCACGAAAGCGUGGGGAUCAAACAGG